AAUGAACGUUGGCGGCGUGGAUUAGGCAUGCAAGUCGAGCGCGAACCGUAGCAAUACGGGGAGAGCGGCGAAAGGGAGAGUAAUACGUGGAUACCUGCCCUCGGGUUCGGGAUAGCUACGGGAAACUGUAGGUAAUACCGAAUAACAUCUUCGGAUCAUAGGUGUGAUUCCGCCCGGGGAGGUGUCCGCGUCCUAUUAGCUAGUUGGUGAGGUAACGGCCCACAAAGGCGAAGAUGGGUAUGGGGUGUGAGAGCAUGACCCCACUCACUGGGACUGUGACACUGCCCAGACACCUACGGGUGGCUGCAGUCGAGAAUCUUCGGCAAUGGGGGAAACCCUGACCGAGCGACGCCGCGUGCGAGAUGAAGGCCUUCGGGUUGUAAAUCGCUGUCAGAGGGGAGGAAAUGCCGGGAAGUAAUUCAUAAUCAACUCGGUUUGACCUAGCCUCAGAGGAAGGACGGGCUAAGUUCGUACCAGCCGCCGCGGUAA
rnacentral:rRNA from 1 species